CGGGGUGAGUAAUGUCUGGGAAACUGCCUGAUGGAGGGGGAUAACUGCUGGAAACGGUAGCUAAUACCGCAUAACGUCGCAAGACCAAAGAGGGGGACCUUCGGGCCUCUUGCCAUCGGAUGUGCCCAGAUGGGAUUAGCUAGUAGGUGGGGUAACGGCUCACCUAGGCGACGAUCCCUAGCUGGCUGAGAGGAUGCCAGCCACACUGGAACUGAGACACGGUCCAG
rnacentral:rRNA from 1 species